rnacentral:rRNA from 1 species
GACGAACGCUGACGGUGUGCUUUAGACAUGCAAGUCGAACGAGAAAGCCCUUCGGGUUAGUAAAGUGGCGAACGGGUGAGUAACACGUGGGCAAUCUGCCCCUCGCAGGGGGACAACCGGAGGAAACUCCGGCUAAUACCCCGUAAGUUCAAAGGGAGGCAUCUCUCUUCGAAGAAAGGUAGCUUCGGCCAUCCGGCGAGGGAUGAGCCCGCGGUGCAUUAGCUAGUUGGUGGGGUAACGGCCUACCAAGGCGACGAUGCAUAGCUGGUCUGAGAGGAUGAUCAGCCACACUGGGACUGAGACACGGCCCAGACUCCUACGGGAGGCAGCAGUCGGGAAUCUUGCGCAAUGGGCGAAAGCCUGACGCAGCAACACCGUGUGUGUGAGGAAGGCCUUAGGGUCGUAAAGCAC